GACGAACGCUGGCGGCGUGCCUAAUACAUGCAAGUCGAACGCAGUGGGGACGGGUGAGUAACCCGUGGGUAACCUCCCAUCAGAGGGGAUAACACUUGGAAACAGGUGCUAAACCGAUACUGAUGGAUGGACGCGGGUGGAAUUAGCUAGUUGGUGGGGUAACGGCGCACCAAGGCCACGAUCCAUAGCCGGCCUGAGAGGGUGAUCGGCCACACUGGGACUGAGACACGGCCCAGACUCCUACGGGAGGCAGCAGUAGGGAAUAUUCGGCAAUGGACGAAAGUCUGACCGAGCAACGCCGCGUGAGUGAAGAAGGUGUUCGGAUCGUAAAGCUCUGUUGUUAGAGAAGCGGUAUCUAACCAGAAAGCAACGGCUAACUACGUGCCAGCAGCCGCGGUAAUUC
rnacentral:rRNA from 1 species